UUUCUCUCGCAUCCUCGUCUUUUUUCUCUAAUGUAGGGUUUGAUUUGAAGUAACUACCAUCUUACCGUGAGACAGAUUCAGAUGUUAAUGGUGGGUGGGAGUUGAGAUACUGAAGAAUGGAUUUUUUGGUUUAGUUAUUCUUCUUCUCCAUCACCCGGUUAAUAUUAGGGAAAGAACGUGAGGCAGUGAAUGGAAGAAUGAAGUUGAAGUGCAGUGAGCUGUAGAUAAUAGUGUUGAUGUUGUGUUGUUAAGGCGAGAAAACAAUGAGAAGAUUGAUGUUUCUUCCAUUGCUUUGUAUAAUGGAAUGAAUGCUUGUUAACUGAUACCCUAAGCUAUGAAAUUGCAUAAUUUUUUUGUUCA